UUUCAAACUUUUUAAUGACUAUCAAUGGUGGAAAAUAUAUGGAGAAGGAGAGAAUUACGCUGCAAUAAAUUUUCUACCGUUUUAAAUUUCGAAAUUAAUGGUGAUUUUUUUAGCAGAUAACACUAGUAUUACCUGGAAAAACAUGCACUUGGCAAAAAUGUCUACAAUAUCACUAAUUUCAAAAUCUUCAUGGAACAUAGAUCGGGAGCUUUUAAUCACAAGUCCUC
rnacentral:lncRNA from 1 species